ensembl:lncRNA
AGAGAUGGGUCUGGGGUAGUAGAGAGGUAUAAGAGAUGGGUCUGGGGUAGUAGAGAGGUGUAAGUGAUGGGUCUGGGGUAGUAGAGAGGUGUAAGAGAUGGGUCUGGGGUCAUAGAGAGGUAAAAUAGAUGGGUCUGGGGUAGUAGAGAGGUGUACGUGAUGGGUCUGGGGUAUCAGAGAGGUGUAAGAGAUGGUCUGGGGUAGUAGAGAGGUGUAAGAGAUGGGUCUGGGUAGUAGAGAGGUGUAAGAGAUGGGUCUGGGGUAGUAGAGAGGGGUAAGAUAUGGGUCUGGGGUAGUAGAGAGGUGUACGUGAUGGGUCUGGGGUAUCAGAGAGGUGUAAGAGAUGGUCUGGGGUAGUAGAGAGGUGUAAGAGAUGGGUCUGGGUAGU